rnacentral:rRNA from 1 species
CUACGGGGGGUGCAAGCGUUAAUCGGAAUUACUGGGCGUAAAGCGCGCGUAGGCGGUUUGCUCAGUCGGAUGUGAGAGCCCAGGGCUCAACCUUGGAACUGCAUACGAUACUGGCAAACUUGAGUGUGAGAGAGGAUAGUGGAAUUUCCGGUGUAGCGGUGAAAUGCGUAGAUAUCGGAAGGAACAUCAGUGGCGAAGGCGACUGUCUGGCUCAACACUGACGCUGAGGUGCGAAAGCGUGGGUAGCAAACAGGAUUAGAUACCCCAGUAGUCC